AGUCUAGAAGCCCAGGACACGGAAUGGUGCCACCAAUGUUCAGGAUGGAUCUUCCCACCUUGGUCUAGGGUGCCAGCACGUGGAAUGGUGUUUCCUAAAUUCAAGGACAACACAUGAGAAAAUCCUUAGGAAGAGAAAAGUUGGCAGAAAUGUGAUUUUUGACUUGCAAGUGUGUGGAGUUCAACUAGCAUGCUGUUUAAUAUAGCUUUUCUGCUCUAAAGUUUCCUAAGUCUCCAUUAGAAAACACUUACAUUAUUUUUGAUUUUUCAGAAUAUACC